rnacentral:rRNA from 1 species
AGCAGCCGCGGUAAUUCCAGCUCCAAUAGCGUAUAUUAAAGUUGUUGCAGUUAAAAAGCUCGUAGUUGAAUUUCGGGAUCAGUACGCUAGUCGUGCCUUCGGUACGUACUGGUGCUGCUGAUUCCUACCUUCUGACGAACCGUUAUGUCAUUAAUUUGGUGUGGCAGGAAAUCAGGACUGUUACUUUGAAAAAUUAGAGUGUUUAAAGCAGGCUCGCGCUUGAAUACACUAGCAU